CAAAAACCUCUCAAAAAAAACACUCGCCAUAGCUCCAGACAGCACAAUCAGAACCAGACUUUGAACAAGAGAACAGGGAGAAAAAAGGAAGAAAACCAACUUAGCAGGCACAGACUUCUUGAAUCUGCAACUGCCAUGGCGUUGUGCGAAGCACUGAAUGAGAAGUACCAGCUUUGCGAGGAGAUUGGCCGAGGGCGAUUCGGCACUGUCUCCCGUUGCUUUUGUCCGAUCUCCAAUGAAUUCUUCGCCUGCAAGAUAAUCGACAAGCGGGUCUUGACCGACCCGAUUGACCGAGAAUGUCUUGAGAAUGAGCCCAAGAUCAUGGCUCUUCUCACUCCGCACCCUAACAUCGUUCAAAUCCACGACAUGUACGAUACCGAUGAUGCACUUUUCAUCGUCAUGGACCUUUGUGACCCUGUAACUAUCUUCGAUCGUGUCGCCGCCGCCGGCCCCCUGUGCGAGGCGGAAUCAUCGAUGUACAUGAAGCAGAUCCUUCAGGCCGUCGCUCACUGUCACCGAUACGGCGUCGUUCACCGCGACGUCAAGCCUGAUAAUGUGUUGCUCGAUUUCAGAGGCGGCAGUGUACGGCUCUGCGACUUUGGUUCUGCCGAUUGGCUCGGCGUGAGUGGCGAGCGCCGGCUGACAGGACUCGUAGGCACGCCGUAUUAUGUAGCUCCGGAGGUAGUAAUGGGGAGAGAGUAUGACGAGAAGGUGGAUGUGUGGAGCGCUGGUGUCGUUUUAUACACAAUGUUGGCCGGGAUCCCGCCGUUUUACGGCGAUACAGCGGGCGAGAUCUUCGAGGCGGUUCUCAGGGGAAACCUCCGGUUUCCUCCUAAACUUUUCCGGUCGGUUUCUGCUGAAGCCAAGGAUUUGCUGAGGAAGAUGAUUUGCAAGGAUGCAUCCAGACGAUUAUCUGCAGAACAAGCUCUAAAUGGAAUCUGUGUGUUUUGAUGUCCCUGUUUUAGGAAUGUAUCUGGGAGAUUAUCUGCAGAAGAAGCUUUUAGGAGUAGGCACCCAUGGAUUGUAAAUGGAGGAGAGAGGAGUUCCAUGGAAUGAACGAGUCACCUUAAGGAGAGCAGAUAGCGGAGUGAGUAGAAGCCACAUGUCUGGCUUAGAACUGUACAUAGAAAGGCUGGCGUAUGAAAUCUAGAGGUGUUAAAGGAGACAAGCAUGCUCUCCUUCUCCUGUCUUUGGCUUGUACAGAGGACAAAAACCCUUCACGGAUCUGUUCCAGAAAACUCCAUUUUUGGCAGACCCGUAUCUCAAGAGAGACACUCACAUGGGUCUCUGCUACCAAGAAGAAAAAGCCCUUUCCUUUUGUCUUCAUGUUUUUUGUUUUGGGUAAUUCUAAUUCUACUUUAAUCCCUUCCUCCAUUAUCAUUUUGAUUGAGAGAAAUGGUAAUAAAUGAUAAUUGAAAAUUUGAAGUAUGGAUGUAAGUUUUGGAAAGUAUAGAAUGUGCAGAUAGUGUGAGGAGAAAAAGAAGAAAGAAAAAGGCAGAGUGAGAAGUGAGUAAGAUAGCAUUUCCCGGCCUUUACUUUUACUUUUUAGGUUUUGGCUUGUUAGAGAAGGGAGAAGGUAGAAAGAGGAGUUUGUACUGCUACUUCUACUGCUACUUUAUGAAUAAAAGCUAUGUUGUUAAUGACUAU